rnacentral:rRNA from 1 species
GAUGAACGCUAGCUGCAGGCUUAACACAUGCAAGUCGAGGGGCAGCACGGUGUAGCAAUACACGGGUGGCGACCGGCGCACGGGUGCGUAACGCGUAUCCAACUUUCCCGUUACUCUCGGAUAGCCUUCCGAAAGGGAGAUUAAUACGAGAUGGUGUUCAGUUUCCGCAUGUUUACUGAACUAAAGAUUCAUCGGUAACGGAUAGGGAUGCGUGACAUUAGAUAGUUGGCGGGGUAACGGCCCACCAAGUCAACGAUGUCUAGGGGUUAUGAGAGGAAGGUCCCCCACACUGGAACUGAGACACGGUCCAGACUCCUACGGGAGGCAGCAGUGAGGAAUAUUGGUCAAUGGGCGCAGGCCUGAACCAGCCAAGUAGCGUGAAGGAUGAAGGUUCUAUGGAUUGUAAACUUCUUUUAUACGGGAAUAACAUCACCUACGUGUAGGUGCCUGCAUGUACCAUAUGUAUAAGCAUCGGCUAACUCCGUGCCAGCAGCCGCGGUAAAAC